UGGCUGCCUCCUGAACAGCUCAACUAGCAAGACUCCUUCACCAAAAUACGAAUAGAGCUGAGAUGAGCACACCCUGGCAAUGAGGCCAACUGGCAUGGAACAACCUGUGUCCAUCCUAUUAACUAUCUUAAUUUUCAGAGCAGAAAUGUGUGCAAGGCAUCUGGAAAUGAUCAGUGAAUGAUAUUCCCUAGUCAUCCCAGGGAGAAGUUUGGAAGAUAAUUGUGACCAGGGCUCUUCUGAAAAUGUAGCAGCGUAGCAUAUGGGUACUAAUGCCUAGAGCGCUCCUGGAGAAGGCAUGCGUUACUCCCAUAGUGGAAUUACCAUACACAUAUUGUGGAAAUGUUUCAAUGGAGAGGCAAACUGCACCACUCUGGGACACAGAGCAUUUAACCUGGGAGCGAGCAGCAGUCCUGAGCAGAGCUUACACAUAUCCACUGCAGACUGGGAAGCUGGGAGCACCGAACACCCAAGGCCAUGGGGACUUUUCCUGCCCCGGUACAGUUCUGCACCUAAAUUAGCAAAAUGUGAUCAUUUAAUAUUCCCAAGUAAUUUCUCUAUUUCCUUUUUUUUU